GAUGAACGCUGACAGAAUGCUUAACACAUGCAAGUCAACUUGAACUUCGGUUUGGGUGGCGGACGGGUGAGUAACGCGUAAAGAACUUGCCUCACAGAUAGGGACAACAUUUGGAACCGAAUGCUAAUACCUGAUAUUAUGAUUAUAUGGCAUCGUAUAAUUAUGAAAGCUAUAUGCGCUGUGAGAGAGCUUUGCGUCCCAUUAGCUAGUUGGAGAGGUAACGGCUCACCAAGGCGAUGAUGGGUAGCCGGCCUGAGAGGGUGAUCGGCCACAAGGGGACUGAGACACGGCCCUUACUCCUACGGGAGGCAGCAGUGGGGAAUAUUGGACAAUGGACCAAGAGUCUGAUCCAGCAAUUCUGUGUGCACGAUGAAGUUUUUCGGAAUGUAAAGUGCUUUCAGUUGGGAAGAAAAAAAUGACGGUACCAACAGAAGAAGUGACGGCUAAAUACGUG
rnacentral:rRNA from 1 species